rnacentral:rRNA from 1 species
AGAGUUUGAUCCUGGCUCAGAUUGAACGCUGGCGGCAGGCCUAACACAUGCAAGUCGAGCGGAAACGAGUUAUCUGAACCUUCCGGGAACGAUAACGGCGUCGAGCGGCGGACGGGUGAGUAAUGCCUAGGAAAUUGCCCUGAUGUGGGGGAUAACCAUUGGAAACGAUGGCUAAUACCGCAUGAUGCCUACGGGCCAAAGAGGGGGACCUUCGGGCCUCUCGCGUCAGGAUAUGCCUAGGUGGGAUUAGCUAGUUGGUGAGGUAAGGGCUCACCAAGGCGACGAUCCCUAGCUGGUCUGAGAGGAUGAUCAGCCUCACUGGAACUGAGACACGGUCCAGACUCCUACGGGAGGCAGCAGUGGGGAAUAUUGCACAAUGGGCGCAAGCCUGAUGCAGCCAUGCCGCGUGUGUGAAGAAGGCCUUCGGGUUGUAAAGCACUUUCAGUCGUGAGGAAGGUAGUGUAGUUAAUAGCUGCAUUAUUUGACGUUAGCGACAGAAGAAGCACCGGCUAACUCCGUGCCAGCAGCCGCGGUAAUACGGAGGGUGCGAGCGUUAAUCGGAAUUACUGGGCGUAAAGCGCAUGCAGGUGGUUUGUUAAGUCAGAUGUGUAAGCCCGGGGCUCAACCUCGGAAUAGCAUUUGAAACUGGCAGACUAGAGUACUGUAGAGGGGGGUAGAAUUUCAGGUGUAGCGGUGAAAUGCGUAGAGAUCUGAAGGAAUACCGGUGGCGAAGGCGGCCCCCUGGACAGAUACUGACACUCAGAUGCGAAAGCGUGGGGAGCAAACAGGAUUAGAUACCCUGGUAGUCCACGCCGUAAACGAUGUCUACUUGGAGGUUGUGGCCUUGAGCCGUGGCUUUCGGAGCUAACGCGUUAAGUAGACCGCCUGGGGAGUACGGUCGCAAGAUUAAAACUCAAAUGAAUUGACGGGGGCCCGCACAAGCGGUGGAGCAUGUGGUUUAAUUCGAUGCAACGCGAAGAACCUUACCUACUCUUGACAUCCAGAGAACUUUCCAGAGAUGGAUUGGUGCCUACGGGAACUCUGAGACAGGUGCUGCAUGGCUGUCGUCAGCUCGUGUUGUGAAAUGUUGGGUUAAGUCCCGCAACGAGCGCAACCCUUAUCCUUGUUUGCCAGCGAGUAAUGUCGGGAACUCCAGGGAGACUGCCGGUGAUAAACCGGAGGAAGGUGGGGACGACGUCAAGUCAUCAUGGCCCUUACGAGUAGGGCUACACACGUGCUACAAUGGCGCAUACAGAGGGCGGCCAACUUGCGAAAGUGAGCGAAUCCCAAAAAGUGCGUCGUAGUCCGGAUUGGAGUCUGCAACUCGACUCCAUGAAGUAGGAAUCGCUAGUAAUCGUGGAUCAGAAUGCCACGGUGAAUACGUUCCCGGGCCUUGUACACACCGCCCGUCACACCAUGGGAGUGGGCUGCAAAAGAAGUAGGUAGUUUAACCUUCGGGGGGACGCUUACCAC